UGGGGAAUUUUGCACAAUGGGGGAAACCCUGAUGCAGCGACGCCGCGUGAUUUAGAAGGCCUUCGGGUUGUAAAAAUCUUUUCUAUGGGAAGAAAAUGACAGUACCAUAGGAAUAAGGACCGGCUAAUUACGUGCCAGCAGCCGCGGUAAUACGUAGGUGGCAAGCGUUGUCCGGAUUUAUUGGGCGUAAAGCGAGCGCAGGCGGUCAAUUAAGUCUGAUGUGAAAGCCCCCGGCUCAACCGGGGAGGGUCAUUGGAAACUGGUUGACUUGAGUGCAGAAGAGGAGAGUGGAAUUCCAUGUGUAGCGGUGAAAUGCGUAGAUAUAUGGAGGAACACCAGUGGCGAAGGCGACUCUCUGGUCUGUAACUGACGCUGAGGCUAGAAAGCGUGGGUAGCAAACAGG
rnacentral:rRNA from 1 species